UACGGGGGGAGCAAGCGUUGUUCGGAUUUACUGGGCGUAAAGGGCGCGUAGGCGGUCAGCACAAGUCAGUUGUGAAAUCUCCGGGCUUAACUCGGAAAGGUCAACUGAUACUGUGCGACUAGAGUGCAGAAGGGGCAACUGGAAUUCUCGGUGUAGUGGUGAAAUGCGUAGAUAUCGGGAGGAACACCAGUGGCGAAGGCGACUACCUGGCCUGUUCUUGACGCUGAGGCGCGAAAGCUAGGGUAGCAAACGGG
rnacentral:rRNA from 1 species